UACGUAGGGAGCGAGCGUUAUCCGGAAUUGUUGGGUGUAAAGGGUGCGUAGACGGGAAAGCAAGUUAGUUGUGAAAUCCCUCGGCUUAACUGAGGAACUGCAACUAAAACUACUUUUCUUGAGUGCAGGAGAGGUAAGUGGAAUUCCUAGUGUAGCGGUGAAAUGCGUAGAUAUUAGGAGGAACACCAGUGGCGAAGGCGACUUACUGGACUGUAACUGACGUUGAGGCACGAAAGUGUGGGGAGCAAACAGG
rnacentral:rRNA from 1 species